AACGAGGGGGACAAGCGUUAUUCACCAUGACUGGGCGUAAAGAGUUCAUAGACAGUAAAGUCAGUUUUUUGUUAAAAUUUGAAGCAAAACUUUAAAAUAGCAUUUAAUACAGCUUUACUUGAGUUAUAUACAAGAGAUAUACAAUUUUGUUUGUAAGGGUAAAAUCUAACUAUAAACAAAGGAAUGCCGUUAGCGAAGGCGAGUUUCUAGUAAAAACUGACGUUGUAGAACGAAAGUAUGGGUAGCAAACAGG
rnacentral:rRNA from 1 species